rnacentral:lncRNA from 1 species
GCUCCUGAGUAGCUGGGAUUACAGGCGCCCUCCACCACGCCCGGCGAAUUUUUGUAUCUUUAGUAGAGACAGGGUUUCACCACGUUGGCCAGGUUGGUCUUGAACUCCUGACCUCAUGAUCCGCCUGCCUCGGCCUCCCAAAGUGUUGGGAUUACAGGUGUGAGCCACCGCACCCGGCCUCUGAGAAAUAUUUAGAUUGUACGCCUCAAAUGGGCAGGGACUGUGUCUUACACUUUUGUAUUUAUGCUACAGCUUACCUAAUACAGUGCCAGGCCUCGUUAAACACUUAUUGAUUGCUCAGACGAUAAAGAACUUGCUUUGGAAGGAGGAGAGGAUAGUCAUGUGCUUCUGAAUGUAUUGAACUUCUUGAAAUCUCUUUCCUCAUCAAUUUUAGCAGAGUUUCUAUUGAAACUCCUAGGGUGUGUUUAUGGAAGACAAACUGAGAUGUGCUGUCCCAGCCUUAGGCCCUGGCAGUACGCCUUGCCUUUUCACGGCACACCCACUACAGCCUUUCCCACACUGUGACACUGGAGCUGGUGAGUCAAAUGCAUGGCAUGGGAAGCCCUCUCUAGGAGGAUGCUGUGGCCACACAAGUGCUGGACGAACCGCUGGAGUAGGUGACUUCCAAGGUGUCCUGAUGUAGUAGCUAUUAGACAAGCUCCUGCAUUUGGCCAGUAAUUAGCAUGCUGCUGCACAUUGCCACUAGGUGGUGCUGCUGCUCCAUUCCCAAGUAACCCACAUGCAUCCCUGGCUGGGGUCAGCCUUGGGGUUUCCCAAGUGUAGAGGAAUCCAUCUCUGUGCCUGUGGUAAUGGCUGGACACCAGGAGAGACCCAGAAAACAGGGAUAUCCUAGAAGAGAAAGGCAAAAUAAGCACUCAGAGCAGAGGACAUUUGAGUGUCAAUAAUGAAGGUGGCAGCAGUAAUCAUGGCUAUCAUUUACUAAAAAUAGUGGAUAUUGGCCAGACAUGGUGGCUCACACCUGUAAUCCCAGCAUUUUGGGAGACCAAGGUGGGUGGAUCACUUGAGGUCAGCAGUUCGAGACCAGCCCGGCCAACAUGGUGAAACUAUCUACUAAAAAUACAAAAAUUAGCCAGGUGUGGUGGUGCACGCCUGUAGUCCCAGCUACUUGGGAGGCUGAGGAAGGAGAAUCACUUGAACCUGGGAGGUGGAGGCUGUAGUGAGCUGAGAUCGCAUCACUGCACUCCAGCCUGGACAACAGAGCAAGACUGUCUCAAAAAAAAAAAGUAGAUACUGUGCUAGUCACUUGAUACACAUCAUCUCUGAUCUUUGCACUGAGCGAGGCAUGUGUAUUAUGUCUGCAUUACAAAAGGGGAAAAAUUAAGGUUCAAGAAGAUAAAGUCACCAGGCAUGGUGGCGCAUGCCUGUGAUCGCAGCACUUUAAGAGGCUGAGACAGGCGGAUUGGUUGAAUCCAGGAGUUCAAGACCAGCCUGGGCAACAUAGUGAGACCUCAUCUCUACAAAAAAAAUAAAAUUAGCUGGGUGUGGUGGUGUGUGCCUGUAGUCACAGCUCCUCGGGAGGCUGAUGUGGAAGGAUCACUUGAGCCCGGGAGAUAGAGGCUGCAGUGAGAUGAGACUGAGCCAUUGCACUCAGCCUAGGCAACAGAGUGAGACCCUGUCUCAAAACAAAACAGAAAUAACAAAAAAUAAGGUGACUUGCUGGAGGCCACAUGGCUGUGAGCCAAAUACAGGUCUGGGUUAUCAGGGCUCACAUACUUCUAAGUACACCCUACUGCCUUGGAAUCUGCUGAAGACCAAGCCCCUGCCCCCAAGCCAUGGCAAAGAAGGAGGGAAGGAAGCAAAGGUGCCCAGCGGGGACAACUCGGGGAGGGGCGAGGUGCCCAGGGCCCAGGAAGGCCAAGCAGCAUGUGGCAGGGCAGCAUCAGGUGACUCCCAAGAAGGAAUGAGGAGAGGAUAUGAGGAAAGAGCCACAGCACAGAGGCCUGCUGUUAGGUCAGCGGAGACCACGGCCCAUGGGACCUGGAUCUACCCUUGAUGCUAACAAUGUUCUUUGGGGAAAAAAUCUAUAAUCACAAAGUUUCUGCAACUGGACUGUAGUCAUGGUUGCAGAACUGUAUAGAUUUACUAGGAACCAUCAAAUUGUUCACUUACAAUGGGUAAAUUGUACAGUACAUAGGUUAUCCCUCAGUAAAGCUGUAUGAAAUUUAUAGUCAUGAAACUAAUAGUGACAAACGAGCUGGGUAAGUAGGUCUCAGCUGUUCUGUAGGCACUUUGAGAAGAGGAAGAGUAGCAUCUCGGUUUUAAUAAAAGAAAGCCUGGCCCAUGGCGUCCAGCUUCUGCUUGAAUACUUUCAGUGCCCGGGAGCUCAGUAUCUCAAAGCAGCCCACUCCUGUUUAAGAGAACUCUAAACCUUAGAAUGUUGAAAUACAUCAUUAUUAUUCUAGUACUGCUGUGAAAAAUAAAUGUCUUUGUUUUGCCACAUAA